UGGGGAAUAUUGCACAAUGGAGGGAACUCUGAUGCAGCGACGCCGCGUGAACGAAGAAGGCUCUCGAGUCGUAAAGUUCUUUCAUAUGGGAAGAUAAUGACGGUACCAUAAGAAAAAGCCCCGGCUAACUACGUGCCAGCAGCCGCGGUAAUACGUAGGGGGCUAGCGUUGUCCGGAAUCACUGGGCGUAAAGGGUUCGCAGGCGGAAAUGCAAGUCAGGUGUAAAAGGCAGUAGCUUAACUACUGUAAGCAUUUGAAACUGCAUAUCUUGAGAAGAGUAGAGGUAAGUGGAAUUUUUAGUGUAGCGGUGAAAUGCGUAGAUAUUAAAAAGAAUACCGGUGGCGAAGGCGACUUACUGGGCUCAUUCUGACGCUGAGGAACGAAAGCGUGGGUAGCAAACAGG
rnacentral:rRNA from 1 species